AUCUCGGUAUCAUCUGCAGAAUAUGGUACUAAUGCAAAGGAGUCUGUAACAGACUAUACUACACCCUCUUCUUCUCUGCCUAACACUGUGGCUACUAAUAACACAAAGAUGGAGGAUACUUUGGUUCAUAAUGUGCCCCUGCCUAACACCCUUCCCUUCCCUAAGAGAGAGACUAUACAACAGAGCUCCAGCCUAACUUCAGUUCCUCCCACUACUUUCAGCCUCACCUUCAAGAUGGAGUCUGCACGCAAGGAUAGGGAGAAUUCUCCAAAUGUAAGGGAAAAGGGGUCUCCAGUAACUUCCACAGCACCUCCAAUUGCAACUGGAGUCAGCAGUAGUGCCAGUGCACCAAGCACUGCUAAUUAUAAUUCGUUCUCAAGUGCAUCGAUGCCCCAGAUUCCUGUUGCUUCAGUCACUCCUACAACAUCACUAUCAGGAGCUGGUACAGUACACUACCUCUUCUUUGAGCACAAAAUCUACAACCACAUCAGACCCUCCAAAUAUUUGUAAAGUGAAACCUCAGCAGUUGCAGACAAGCAGCCUGCCUUCUGCAAGUCAUUUUUCACAGUUAAGCUGUAUGCCUUCCCUUAUUGCCCAGCAACAACAGAGUCUGCAAGUUUAUGUGUCUCAGUCUGCAGCAGCUCAAAUCCCAGCCUUCUAUAUGGACACAAGUCAUUUAUUUAAUACCCAGCAUGCACGAUUGGCUCCACCAUCCUUGGCUCAACAACAGGGUUUCCAACCAGGUCUCUCUCAGCCAACUUCAGUUCAGCAGAUUCCAAUCCCUAUUUAUGCACCACUGCAAGGGCAGCAUCAAGCCCAACUGAGUUUGGGGGCUGGACCUGCUGUUUCCCAGGCUCAGGAAUUGUUCAGCUCUUCACUUCAACCAUAUAGAUCUCAGCCAGCUUUUAUGCAAAGCAGUUUAUCCCAGCCAUCUGUGGUCCUUUCUGGGACUGCUAUUCACAACUUUCCAACUGUCCAACACCAAGAACUUGCCAAGGCACAAUCUGGUCUUGCCUUUCAGCAAACAUCAAAUACCCAGCCUAUUCCCAUAUUGUAUGAACAUCAACUGGGGCAGGCAUCAGGACUAGGAGGUUCCCAGCUGAUUGACACACAUCUUCUCCAGGCUAGAGCAAAUCUUACCCAGGCUUCAAAUCUUUAUUCUGGACAAGUACAACAGCCUGGUCAGACAAAUUUUUAUAACACUGCCCAGUCACCAAGUGCUCUCCAGCAGGUUACAGUACCUUUACCAGGAUCCCAGCUUUCCUUGCCUAAUUUUGGAUCUACAGGGCAACCUCUAAUUGCUUUGCCUCAGACUCUUCAGUCCCCGUUACAGCAUACCACUCCCCAAGCACAGGCUCAGAGUCUGAGUCGUCCUGCACAAGUAAGCCAGCCUUUCAGAGGAUUAAUUCCUGCUGGAACACAGCAUAGCAUGAUUGCAACCACAGGAAAAAUGUCUGAAAUGGAACUAAAAGCCUUUGGAAGUGGCAUUGAUAUAAAACCACGCAUACCUCCAAUCGCUGGUAGAAGCACCACACCAACAUCUAGUCCCUUCCGGGCUACUUCUACAAGUCCGAACAGCCAGUCCAGCAAAAUGAACAGUAUUGUCUACCAGAAGCAGUUCCAGUCAGCCCCUGCCACUGUGAGAAUGACACAACCGUUUCCUACACAGUUUGCACCCCAGAAGAGAGCUGUGGGAAGAGGACUCAGCCACAAGACAUUUGGUCCUAGGUGUUGGCAAAGCAGAGAGCAGAGGUUCUUCAGUCCACGCAACGGUUCUUCUCUGAACAGCAACAGAGCAAACAGAUAGGAGGCAAAGCCCAGAAAGUGGACAGUGAUUCAAGUAAACCUCCUGAAACACUGACCGACCCUCCUGGUGUCUGUCAGGAAAAAGUAGAAGAAAAGCCACCCCCUGCACCCUCCAUAGCCACCAAACCUGUUAGAACUGGACCAAUCAAACCUCAGGCAAUCAAAACCGAAGAAACAAAAUCUUAAAGGCUAUGGUUUAUUGCAGGGGAUUGGGGGUGGGGGGAGGGAAAACAUGGAGAAUUAAGUCAGAUAAUGCCAGCAGCCAAAGGGGCAAAAUGGUCCGUGACAUUAUCCUGUUCAGAGCUUGGAGAUAUACAAGGGACAUAGGAGCAAUUUACACUGACACAUAGCUGCUGUACCAGUAAAAAUGAGGCUUUGCAAGCUUGUACCUACUAUAUAACAUGCACUCGGUUGAUGGCCACGCAUCUUCAGUCAGAAUUUAUAUAUAAAUAUAUGCACCCAUUUUUUUGAGUGCAUAUAAUUUAGACCUAAAAAUCCUUAUGAUUAGAUGAAACACCAAAAAUAUAAGGAAAAUAACACGGCAGAGGAAUAGCUCAGCCUGAACAGUGUGAUGGUCCCAGCUAAUACAUCAGAUGCGGUUUUUUUGCUCCCUUAUGUUCCUUGGAUAUGGUUAUGGCAUUUGUAGGCUUGGAGGUGAAGAACUGAAGAUAACUGGUGCUGGAUAGAGGAGCCUUAUUUUUUAUUAUGGCAGCUUGCUAUUUUUAUAACAUGGUGAUUGAGUUGAACACAAUCAAAGUACAGUAGUAACUGAUCUCCCCUUCUUCCUGGAUGAAUGAGCAGAUGAGUAAAUAUUGAUGUCAGCAUCCUUGAACCAUAUCAUAGUGAGCAGUGUUUGGCUACUGCUUCUGUUUGAAAUGAUGCUGUGUUUGGUUGUGGUCCGAAGCUUUGAAGCGCUACUUAGCAUCUCCUUUCUUCCAUGGAGCUCUAACCAUUCAAACAUGACAGAUUUGGUAAAAUGCUAGUUAGGUUGAGUCUUCCUUGCCCCACUCAGUCAUCUUUGUAUGAAUCCCAUGGUUCUGGGGUUUUUUUCUUUUUUUCCUUUUUCUUUUUUCUUUUUUCUUUUUUUUUUCUUUUUUCUUUUUUUUUUUUUUUGUUAAACCAGUUUUUAGCUGGUGUUUAGCUGGUGUUUAUGAAGAACAGUGAGUACCUAGAACUGUGCCACUAAUUAAAGGAAAUCCUAAGAAGGUGCAUUUCUUUACAGAGCUGUGUCAUGCCAUCCUUUGGGCCCUCUGCUGGAAAAGUAGAAUCAAGUCUCAAAUAAUGCCUUUUUAAUUGUAUCCUCUAGUAUCAUAGAUAUAGGACAGUACUGUAUCAUACCUCUGUGAAUGUAAAAUAUCUUGUACCUGCUUUAUGAUACGUAGUAGUGACCGUGCUUUAUCAGAGCUGUUUUUAAUGAUGUUAUUCUAGAAUGUUUUAUUUCCAGAUGAUGAUUCAGAAGCUAAUUUUAUAAAAUGGUGCCAGGUACCACAACAGUAACAGAACUUUGCAAUUUUCUGGGGUUUUGUUUUUUACCUUCCCCCCCCUUUUUUUUAAAUGGAGUGCGCUGGAUGUCUCUAUAAUUUUAUUCAGAUGACUGCAGAACCUGGAAAAGCUGUUGCUGCUAUUGAUGCAUAACAUACUGCUAUUGGUCUCUUUAUAUAAAUAUAUAUAUAUACAUAUAUAUAUAUAAUUUGAAUUUUUGGAAACUUUAGCUGUGCUGUCAACUUUGGAAAAAGUAUCCCAGUUUACUGUGUUGAGUUGGCAUUGCACAGAAAUUAACAGCCAUAUUGGUCUAGAAAUGUUAAACUUAAUUUUUUCCAUUUGUACAGGGGUAACGCACU